rnacentral:rRNA from 1 species
GAUGAACGCUAGCGGGAGGCCUAACACAUGCAAGCCGAGCGGUAGAGAUUCUUCGGAAUCUUGAGAGCGGCGUACGGGUGCGGAACACGUGUGCAACCUGCCUUUAUCAGGGGGAUAGCCUUUCGAAAGGAAGAUUAAUACCCCAUAAUAUAUUUGAUGGCAUCAUUAGAUAUUGAAAGCUUUGGCGGAUAGAGAUGGGCACGCGCAAGAUUAGAUAGUUGGUGAGGUAACGGCUCACCAAGUCGAUGAUCUUUAGGGGGCCUGAGAGGGUGAUCCCCCACACUGGUACUGAGACACGGACCAGAAUCCUACGGGAGGCAGCAGUGAGGAAUAUUGGACAAUGGGUUAGCGCCUGAUCCAGCCAUCCCGCGUGAAGGACGACGGCCCUAUGGGUUGUAAACUUCUUUUGUACAGGGAUAAACCUACUCUCGUGAGAGUAGCUGAAGGUACUGUACGAAUAAGCACCGGCUAACUCCGUG